UCAGGCGGCCGGGCAGCCGCUUUCGUCCAGUGCCGAAAGGCGGGCGGGAGAGGAAAGUCCGGGCUCCAUGGAGGCAGGGUGCCGGGGAAAUCCCGGCGGGCCGGGGGUCAAGCCCCGGUUCAGGGAUAGCGCCGCAGAAAUCAGACCGCCGGAUGUUAUGUCCGGUAAGGGUGAAACGGUGGGGUAAGAGCCCACCGCCCCGACCGCAAGGAAGGGGGCACGGCAAGCCCCAUCCGGAGCAAGACCGAAUAGGGACGGGCGUCCGCUUCGCGCGGGCAGGUGCGCCUCCGCAUUCCGUCCGGGUAGGUCGCACGAGGUGGCGCGCAAGCGUCAUCCAAGAGGAAUGGCUGCCGCUUCUUUCCAUUACGGAAAGAAUGGCACAGAACCCGGCUUACAGGCCGCCUGACCCU
rnacentral:RNase_P_RNA from 2 species